UACGGGGGGGGCAAGCGUUGUUCGGAAUUACUGGGCGUAAAGGGCGCGUAGGCGGCCUUCUAAGUCAGACGUGAAAUCCCCCGGCUUAACCUGGGAACUGCGUCUGAUACUGGGAGGCUUGAGUAUGGGAGAGGGAUGUAGAAUUCCAGGUGUAGCGGUGAAAUGCGUAGAUAUCUGGAGGAAUACCGGUGGCGAAGGCGGCAUUCUGGACCGAUAUUGACGCUGAGGAGCGAAAGCCAGGGGAGCAAACGGG
rnacentral:rRNA from 1 species